GCCCCUUCGGGGGUGAGUAGAGUGGCGAACGGGUGACUAACACGUGGGUAACCUGCCCCUCGCAGGGGGAUAACCGGGGGAAAGCCCGGCUAAAACCCCGUACGCUUGCCGGGGCGCAUGCUCCGGCAAGGAAAGGUAGCUUCGGCCAUCCGGCGAGGGAGGGGCCCGCGGCCCAUUAGCUAGUUGGUGGGGUAACGGCCCACCAAGGGCGACGAUGGGUAGCUGGCCUGAGAGGGUGGUCUGCCACACUGGGACUGAGACACGGCCCAGACUCCUACGGGAGGCAGCAGCCAGGAAUCUUGCGCAAUGGGCGAAAGCCUGACGCAGCAACGCCGCGUGGGCGAUGAAGGCCUUCGGGUCGUAAAGCCCUGAUGUCGGGGACGAAGGGCGAAGGGUUAAUAGCCCCUAGCCUGACGGUACCCGACGAGGAAGCCCCGGCUAACUACGUGCCAGCAGCCGCGGUAAUACGUAGGGGGCGAGCGUUGUCCGGAAUCAUUGGGCGUAAAGAGCGUGUAGGCGGCCCGGUAAGUCCGCUGUGAAAACCCGGGGCUCAACCCCGGGCGUGCAGUGGAAACUGCCGGGCUAGAGGGCGGCAGAGGCGAGUGGAUUUCCCGGUGUAGCGGUGAAAUGCGCAGAUAUCGGGAGGAACACCAGUAGCGAAGGCGGCUCGCUGGGCCGUUCCUGACGCUGAGACGCGAAAGCUUGGGGAGCGAAUCAGGAUUAGAUACCCUGGUAGUCCAAGCCGUAAACGAUGGGCACUAGGUGUGGGGGGAGUCGAAUCCCUCCGUGCCGUAGCCAACGCGUUAAGUGCCCCGCCUGGGGAGUACGGCCGCAAGGCUAAAACUCAAAAGAAUUGACGGGGGCCCGCACAAGCAGCGGAGCAUGUUCUUUAAAUUCGAUGCAACGCGAAGAACCUUUCCUGGGCUUGACAUGCUGGUGGUAGGCGCCGGAAACGGUGGCCGACCCUUCGGGGAGCCAGCACAGGUGCUGCAUGGCUGUCGUCAGCUCGUGUCGUGAGAUGUUGGGUUAAGUCCCGCAACGAGCGCAACCCCCGCCCUGUGUUGCCAGCAUUAAGUUUGGGGACUCACAGGGGACUGCCGGUGACAAACCGGAGGAAGGUGGGGGAUGACGUCAAGUCAUCAUGGCCCUUAUGCCCAGGGCUAGAAACGUGCUACAAUGGCCGGUACAUUGGGCUGCGAUGCCGCGAGGCGGAGCGAAUCCCAUCAAAGCCGGGUCUAAGUUCGGAUUGGAGUCUGCAACUCGACUCCAUGAAGGCGGAGUUGCUAGUAAUCGCGGAUCAGCAUGCCGCGGUGAAUACGUU
rnacentral:rRNA from 1 species